GGCGCAUUUUCCUCCAGAGCACCGGGCUUAUCUCCGCGCGCACGCCGAGCAGGAGUCACUUUGAGCGGCCAUAGAAAACUCUCUGCUGCGCUGGAGGUUUCACACUUUUCUUCAGUCUGAGGACGGACUCCGGUCUGUGGCUGUCCCGGGACACUCUGGAGCUACACCGUUUAUCUGCGGGGACCUGAGGCUCAUUCAUACGGUCCAGCGGUGCUUGAUCCCCGCGCACGCCGACCUCAAGGAGCUGCGAGCGGGCACAGGAUCCACGGCUCUCUGCCAGCUCCAACCACAGCUCCAACCUCAGCCUCUCUGAGGUCUGAGUGAACUUUAACAGAGCAGAUUCCCCCUUAAGGAGUGUGCGAGCUCUGGGUUUAUGCGUGAAAACUAACUGAGCCGAGCGGCGUUCAGCUGAGAGAGUGUCCGAGCAGGAGGCACUUGGAGCGGACUCAGAGCACCGCGCGUCCCCGCUGUAGCAGCGUUAGCCUUUAGCCUUUAGCUCUGUUAGCUCCAGGAAGAUGCAGUGUGUGAAGAUAAUGAGGAAACGACCCCUGGACCUGGAGCCCUGGGACCGCUGCAAAACCAAGCGCGUUUGUUUGGGGGCGGAGCUUGUGGCUGAUUGUCCAAUGGAAACUUGCGACAGUUCAAAUCUGACCAAUCAGCUGCAGCCUCAGCUGCACGUGCAGCUCAAACCCAAUUUUGGCCCCGGUCUUGGUCCUGGUCUUGGUCCUGGUCUUGGUCCUGGUCCUGGUCUUGGUCCUGGUCUUGGUCCUGGUCCUAGUCCUGGUCCUGGUUUUGGUCCUGGUCUUGGUCCUGGUCUGGUCUGUCAGCGCUGCCUCAGAGGAGAACCUGGGCACAUCAACCACAUCCUGGGACUCUAGCCAAUCAGACGACAGCUCUGAGGGACGCCACGCCAGACUGACCAAUCAGACGACAGCUCUGAGGGACGCCAUGCCAGACCGACCAAUCAGACGACAGCUCUGAGGGACGCCACGCCAGACCGACCAAUCAGACGACAGCUCUGAGGGACGCCACGCCAGACCGACCAAUCAGACGACAGCUGUGAGGGACGCCACGCCAGACCGACCAAUCAGACGACAGCUCUGAGGGACGCCACGCCAGACCGACCAAUCAGACGACAGCUCUGAGGGAUGCCACGCCAGACCGACCAAUCAGACAACAGCUCUGAGGGACGCCACGCCAGACCGACCAAUCAAACGACAGCUCCAGUGUGGUUCUCCUCGGCCCCAGUCCUUUGCUGAUCUUCGCCUGGGCUCAUUUUUACGAUGUAACUUUAGUUAUUUUGAGUUUAAUUUGAUUUCUCAGUUUAAAUGAAGGGACAAACCUGAAGCCAG
ensembl:lncRNA